AUUGAACGCUGGCGGCAGGCCUAACACAUGCAAGUCGAGCGGAUGAAGGGAGCUUGCUCCUGGAUUCAGCGGCGGACGGGUGAGUAAUGCCUAGGAAUCUGCCUGGUAGUGGGGGAUAACGUCCGGAAACGGGCGCUAAUACCGCAUACGUCCUGAGGGAGAAAGUGGGGGAUCUUCGGACCUCACGCUAUCAGAUGAGCCUAGGUCGGAUUAGCUAGUUGGUGGGGUAAAGGCCUACCAAGGCGACGAUCCGUAACUGGUCUGAGAGGAUGAUCAGUCACACUAGAACUGAGACACGGUCCAGACGCCUACGGGAGGCAGCAGUGGGGAAUAUUGGACAAUGGGCGAAAGCCUGAUCCAGCCAUGCCGCGUGUGUGAAGAAGGUCUUCGGAUUGUAAAGCACUUUAAGUUGGGAGAAAGGGCAGUAAGUUAAUACCUUGCUGUUUUGACGUUACCAACAGAAUAAGCACCGGCUAACUUCGUG
rnacentral:rRNA from 1 species